rnacentral:rRNA from 1 species
AGGACGAACGCUUGCGACGUGCCUAAGAAAUGCAAGUCGAACGGACAGUAGCAAUACUGUUAGUGGCGAACGGUCGCGUAACACGUGGGCAACCUGCCCCGAAGCGGGGGACAACAACCCGAAAGGGUUGCUAAUACCGCAUGUGAAUCGUGGUGGCAUCACCAAGGAUUCAAAGCCGCAAGGCACUUCGGGAUGGGCCCGCGGCCUAUCAGCUAGUUGGAGAGGUAACGGCUCACCAAGGCUUCGACGGGUAGCUGGUCUGAGAGGACGGCCAGCCGGAUUGGGACUGAGAUACGGCCCAGACUCCUACGGGGGGCAGCAAUUAGGAAUCUUGCGCAAUGGGCGAAAGCCUGACGCAGCGACGUCGCGUGAAGGAUGAAAUCUUUCGGGAUGUAAACUUCUUUUACCAGGGAAGAAUAAUGACGGUACCUGGUGAAUAAGCCCCGGCUAACUACGUGCCAGCAGCCGC